rfam:Myotis brandtii contig188316, whole genome shotgun sequence.
CAUGCACUGGUGGGGUCCCUCAGCCUGGCCUGCGGGGAUCAGGCCAAAACUGACAACCUGACAUCCCCCGAGGGGUCCCAGAUUUCAGAGGGUGCAGGCCAGGCUGAGGGACCCCACUGGUGCACA